CCCAUUGCUUCUUGUCCUACCCUCAGGUGCUUUGGAGAAUAGCUUGACUCCCUCUUCUUUGUGGCAGCCCCUGAGAUAUUGGAACACUGUUAUCAUGACAUUCCUAGUCCUUCUUUUCAUCAAACUAGACAUACCCAGUUCCUGCAACAGUUCUUGAUAUGUUUUAGCCUCCAGUCCCCUAAUCAUCUUUGUAGCUCUUCUCUGCACUCUUUCUAGAGUCUCAGCAUCUUUUUUACAUCGCGGCGACCAAAACUGAAUGCAGUAUUCCAAGUGUGGCCUUACCAAGGCAUUAUAAAGUGGUAUUAACUCUUCACGUGAUCUUGACUCUAUCCCUCUGUUUAUGCAGCCCAGAACUGUGUUGGCUUUUUUAGCAGCUGCUGCACACGGCUGGCUCAUAUCUAAAUGGUUGUCUACUAGGACUUCAAGAUCCCUCUCACAGGCAAAACUCUUCUAUUUAGUUUCCUGGGCUGUGCCCCCAAAUGUAUGGAAGUCUAUGAGCGACCCCAGGAUCAAAAUAUCACUCAGAUCGUGACAUGUUGUUCUAACCGAGAUUUCUGCAAUGCUUAAAACUUGUCUGAGGGAAGACUCGUAAGAUUAUGCCACCGUCUGCUGGAAGAAUUUGGAAAGACUUGGCAGAAAAUGGAGAAUGAAAAGAAAGGAAACCCAGGCCACUUUGGAGUAAGGUAGUCCUUGACUUAC